rnacentral:rRNA from 1 species
GACGAACGCUGGCGGCGUGCCUAACACAUGCAAGUCGAGCGAAGAAUUUAUCAUGAAGUCUUCGGGUGGAAUGAUAAACUUCUUAGCGGCGGAUGGGUGAGUAACGCGUGAGGAACCUGCCUUCCACAAGGGGAUAGCCUCGGGAAACCGGGAUUAAUACCCUAUGAAACUUAGCAAUCGCAUGAUAUUUAAGUUAAAGCGUUAGCGGUGGAAGAUGGCCUCGCGUCCCAUUAGCUAGUUGGUGAGUUAAAAGCUCACCAAGGCAACGAUGGGUAGCCGGCUUGAGAGAGUGACCGGCCACACUGGAACUGAGACACGGUCCAGACUCCUACGGGAGGCAGCAGUGGGGAAUAUUGCACAAUGGAGGGAACUCUGAUGCAGCGACGCCGCGUGAGCGAUGAAGGCCUUCGGGUCGUAAAGCUCUGUCCUAUGGGACGAUAAUGACGGUACCAUAGGAGGAAGCCCCGGCUAACUACGUGCCAGCAGCCGCGGUAAUACGUAGGGGGCGAGCGUUGUCCGGAAUUACUGGGCGUAAAGGGUACGCAGGCGGUCAAAUAAGUCAGAUGUGAAAGGCGUAGGCUUAACCUAUGUAAGCAUUUGAAACUGUUUGGCUUGAGUUAAGGAGAGGAAAGUGGAAUUCCUGGUGUAGCGGUGAAAUGCGUAGAUAUCAGGAGGAAUAUCAGUGGCGAAGGCGACUUUCUGGACUUAAACUGACGCUGAGGUACGAAAGCGUGGGGAGCAAACAGGAUUAGAUACCCUGGUAGUCCACGCCGUAAACGAUGAGUGCUAGGUGUCGGAGGGUAACCUUCGGUGCCGAAGUUAACACAUUAAGCACUCCGCCUGGGGAGUACGUUCGCAAGAAUGAAACUCAAAGGAAUUGACGGGGACCCGCACAAGCAGCGGAGCAUGUGGUUUAAUUCGAUGCAACGCGAAGAACCUUACCAGGGCUUGACAUCCCUCGGGCCGUCUUAGAGAUAAGACCUUCUCUUCGGAGACUGAGGGACAGGUGGUGCAUGGUUGUCGUCAGCUCGUGUCGUGAGAUGUUGGGUUAAGUCCCGCAACGAGCGCAACCCUUGCCUUUAGUUGCCAACAGUUAGGCUGUGCACUCUAGAGGGACUGCCGAUGAUAAAUCGGAGGAAGGUGGGGAUGACGUCAAAUCAUCAUGCCCUUUAUGUCCUGGGCUACACACGUGCUACAAUGGUCGGUACAACGGGUAGCGACUUAGUGAUAAGGAGCCAAUCCCUUAAAACCGAUCCCAGUUCGGAUUGCAGGCUGCAACUCGCCUGCAUGAAGCCGGAGUUGCUAGUAAUCGUGGAUCAGAAUGCCACGGUGAAUGCGUUCCCGGGUCUUGUACACACCGCCCGUCACACCAUGGGAGUUAGCAAUACCCGAAGCCAGUGAGCCAACCGUAAGGGAGCAACUGUCGAAGGUAGGGUUAAUGACUGGGGUG